rnacentral:rRNA from 1 species
UAGGGGAAUAUUGGGCAAUGGGCGAAAGCCUGACCCAGCCACGCCGCGUGAGUGAUGAAGGCCUUCGGGUCGUAAAGCUCUGUGGGGAGGGACGAACAAAUCUGGGGCUAAUCACCCGGAUCCUGACGGUACCUCCUUAGCAAGCACCGGCUAACCCUGUGCCAGCAGCCGCGGUAAUACAGGGGGUGCAAACGUUGCUCGGAAUCAUUGGGCGUAAAGCGCACGUAGGCGGUCUGUUAUAGUCGGAUGUGAAAGCCCUUGGCUUAACUGAGGAAGUGCAUCCGAAACUGGCAGGCUAGAGUACUAAAGAGGGUUCGCGGAAUUCCCGGUGUAGAGGUGAAAUUCGUAGAUAUCGGGAGGAACACCGGUGGCGAAGGCGGCGACCUGGGUAGAUACUGACGCUGAGGUGCGAAAGCGUGGGGAGCAACAGGAUUAGAUACCCUGGUAGUCCACGCCGUAAACGAUGAGUGC